rnacentral:misc_RNA from 1 species
CGUGCCGAAUCACUUUCAUACUCUUCCGCCGUCGUUGCUUCCACACGCCAUUUUCUAAUAGAGUGUAUAGUUCGCUCGUGAGUUAUACCACGUUAACGUUUAUAUUUCUAAAUAUAAUACAACUGGUUGGUUGAAAUAGUGACAAAUUAAAAAAAAGUAAUUAUAGCGAAUAUGAGUUACGGUAGGCCACCGCCGCGUAUCGACGGCAUGGUGUCUUUAAAGGUUGACAAUCUAACUUAUAGAACGACGCCAGAAGAUCUCAGGCGUGUGUUUGAAAGAUGCGGGGAAGUUGGGGAUAUUUACAUACCACGAGAUCGUUUCACUCGUGAAAGUCGUGGUUUUGCCUUUGUGAGAUUCUAUGAUAAACGUGAUGCAGAAGAUGCAUUGGAUGCUAUGGAUGGAAGGUUGUUAGACGGUAGGGAACUUAGAGUUCAAAUGGCACGUUAUGGUCGACCAACCUCACCUCAUCGAAGUCGUGGAAGUCGCAGACGUGGCAGGUCACGCAGCCGUAGCAGAGAUCGCAGACGAUCUCGUACACGAUCACGUAGUAGGUCUCGUAGUCGUGAUAGAGAUCGUAGACGUUCCUACAGUCGUAGCCGCAGUCGUUCUCGCUCUGAUAGUAAAAGUUCUCGUGGGAAAUCUCGUUCUCGCAGCAAGUCUCAAGAGCGACAAAAAGACAGUCGUUCAAAAUCAAGAUAAGAUACUGGAAUAAAAGGAUAUACGAGUACCAGCAAAAUGAUUUACAUCCUUCGACCCACCAUAUUAUCUGUCUUGAGAAGAGAUUUGAAAAGGCGGUGGAAAGGAGUGGCAUGGCGAGUGUAGCCGAUGAUGGGGUAGCUGAGAGUAAGCUGUAAGCCGAGUAAGCAGGGCUGUAAGCAGUUUGCAGUAGCGAGCGGUUGGUGGUCUGGUGAAAGCAGGUUCGCGAGAGAUCGAUGCGAGAGAGUGUGCGAGCGAGCAGUCUCUUUGGGGGGUCGCACUGCAGAAUUUGCGGAUGGUACGGUCAAACGCAGAGAAUAAAAAAGCAGAACGCAAUCAGAGCAGCAGCACGCGGUUGCUGGUCGCAGAGACAUCGAUCCGGGUAGCAGGUAGCACGUGAGCAUAUCACCAGACACCUCGCGAACGAGAUUACGCGUCAGCUGAUAAGUUACCACAUCUAUCUUAGUUGUCAAUAAUUAUUUGACCAAUUAUUGGCUAUCGUUUUCGACACUUGCCGCCACAUAGUAAAAUUAAACUAGGUGGAAUUGUGCUCGAAGAAUAUCACAUGUUUUCUCCGCUCUUUCUUUUUUGUGUUUUUCUUCUAGGUUCUUCGAUAUAUAUAUCUCAACAGGAUUUUGGUGUUAACAUAUUAUAGAGGUGGUACCGGCAUACCAACCAGGUGUCCCAAUCGGAAGAUAAUAAGUAAAUAAAAAAAUGAAAAGAAUAAACUUGCUAAAUGGCAUAUUCUGUAAAUAAAAGACAAAAAUGUAGUAAGAUAUUAUGGGAUAAACUCUGAAGAAGAAUA